AUGGGCUAUCUUGAUCCAUUAGUCUCAUGCAAUCUAGUCAACCUUCAGGAAGACAAAUCUUUCUCUUGUGGACCCUCUGUGUUGUGUUGGUGAGAUUCUUUUACAUUGUUUGAUCUUGCUUUCAAAGCAAGUUGAAAAUUGGGGUUGCACAUUAUCAAGUUUGAAAAUAUGAGGAAGAGGGAUUUGAAGUGAAGAGGUAUGGAAGAGGAAGAGGCUAAAUCAUUAGCUUGCUAACUAGGCUCAGCACCACCGCCUUAAGGUUUCUCAAAAAUUUCAUGGCCAUCAUUUUUCUAGCACUAUAGAAAUUUUCUUGUUUUUAAGUUAAAUUCAAAACUAUAUUUAAGACUUAAAACCCUUGUGUCUUUAUAAACCAAUGAAUGAUUAGGAUAUUUAAAAAAAAAAAAGUGUUGCUUAAGAAGUUUGGCUUUUAGGAGUACGAGAUUUUAAGUUAAGUUGCUUCUUGUUUAAGUAAUAUCUUUUGGUUAGGGACACAAGGUUUCAUUAGAUAGUUUUUAUGUUAAUAUGCUAUUUUUCUCUAAGGUCAAGUAUACUUGUAAGUGGAAUUUGUUAGGGUCAUAUUUUUAAGUGUUGGCAAAUUUAAGUCAAAAUGCACUUAAUGAUGUAUUUUGAGUCUUAUUUUUUAAUGUCCACAAGUAUGUUAAAGAUCCAUUUUGAAUACACAAAAAAAAUUACUUAAGAAACUUUUUAGUCGGGUAUCUCGACUGCACCUCGAUACCUGGUCAAGCUAUUGAGAUUUACUAAAGUUUGACACCUUCGAUCAAUUAAGUUUCAAGAAAGUUGAAUAGAUUUUUCUAUUUUAGCUCAUGAUGACAUGAUCUGUUUUGAGAUCCAUGCACUAGGGUUCCCAGAGGUAUGAAACUAUAUUCUACAAUUGUCAUCAUAGAGAUAGAAGACACAUAAACUAAGAGAGGUUGCUACGACUUUGUGCACCUAAGGUUUUAUACCGAGCUAUUUCCAAUUCACCAUUGAAGUGUGUUGCUGUGAAAAACUUUGUACCAAUCAACUACAUUAAUCAAGGAUUGCUAUGAGGAGUCAAUCACAGAAUGGAGUUUACUGCAUAUUGAAGAAGUCUACUAGGAAGAGUAGUCCAAUUGGGUUGGAUCUAAGCUUGGAUAGAUCAGUAGGUUCAACUGUAGAGAAGUAUGUCAGGAUCAAGUAAGAUUCUUUGUACUUGUAAUUUUAAUCUUUAUUAGUGGAUUCUUCAGGGAGUGGUGACUAUAUAUCAUCUGUUGGGAUUUUUCCUGCAAAUGUUUUCCCUAUCAUGACCACAUCAUAUGUGUCAAGAUUUAUUUUUUGUUGCACUUAAGUUUAGACUAGUGAUUUAGUUGUAUAUUGCAUGCAAUUGGACCAAUUAAUAAACUUGAGUGAUCAAUUAAUUUAGGGCAAAUUAUAACUUACCCUCAUGUGGUUUGGCUAAAAUUUAAGUUAUUUACUUGUGGUUUAAAAAUUGGCACUUUACCUACAUGGAUUAGCUCCAUUAAACUACUGGUAACUCACCUUCGUACUUUCACCAUUAAAACACACAAAAAAAAAACAAAAAACAAAAACAAAAACAUAAAAAUCAAGAUCUAAAAAGAUAUUUGUUAAAAUGGUGAAGCUUUUGCUCAAGAACACUCUUCCUCUUCGUAAGAACGUUCUCAAGCCAAUUUCAAUCCAAACAAAACGGUCAUAUUCACAAAAAUAGAGAGAGAGAAGGAAAAGGGACUUGAACAUCUUAGAUCCUAACCUAGAGAACACUAUUCAAAAUUUCAAAUACAUAUUCAAGGAAAACACUUACCAAAAUCCAAAAAGCCUAACAAUAUUUUCAGUCAAUAAGUGUUAAGAAUAAGGUACUAAGAUCAAGCUCACAUCUCAUACAUCCGAAUUUUAUCUGUUUCUUACACUAUCUGCUUUCAUCUAUUUUGGAUCCUUUUGAUAUGUGGUUUUUAUAAUAAUAAUAAUAAUAAUAGUAAUAAUAAUAAUAAUAAUAAAUUGAGGUUACCAUACAUAAUUUUUUAAUUAAAAAAAUGUAUUAAAAUUUUGUUUUAUUUAAUAAAGACAUAAUUGUAAAUUUAUUCCAACUUCAGCUUAGAUUUUUUAUUUAUUUUCCCAUCCUUCUAGUAUCAACCAAAUACAUAUGAGAGAAAAAAAUAUCUUCUAUCCUUCUACUUUUCUACCUCUCUAACCAAUCAAACCCUUAAAUUUAAGGAUUAUCAAGUUAAUCGCUUAACUAUUAAAAGGCUUGUAGCUCAUUCAACUCAACCACUCUCAAUCAUCAAAUUAUUUAAAAAAAAAAAAAAAAAAAAAACACUCUCAAUCAUCAAAUUAUUAAAAAAAAAAAAAAAAAAAAAAAACCCUCACUUCAUAAAGAUGACUCAAUAUGGUAACAAGUCAAACCAAAUCCAAAUUGGAUUUCUUGGCUUGAUUUAAUAUUUUUAUCAAACUCCCCAAAAAAAAAAAAAAAGUGUUGUCUCAAAAUAAAAAGUAGGCGCAAAGGGAGUCCAAAUCUUCUGUCUCACUUUUCCUGCUCCACUUUAUACUCCACCAAUAAAUACUUGCCACGUGUUCACCUAAUUAAUUAAAUACUAUCAUUAUUGACUUAUUAAUACUACAGUUAUUAAUUAAUAGCAAUAUUUAAUUAAUUAGGUAAACACGUGGCAAGUAUUUAUUGGUGGAGUAUAGAGUGGAGUAAGGAAAGUGAGACAGGAGAUUUGGACUCGGCGCAAAGGGGAGUAAAAAAAACCCACAUAGACAGAAGACAGAGAGAGAGAGUGACAACGAUACUGUAGCAAAUGAGAAUGUGAAGAAGAGAGGAGAGGACAGAGUGGAGAGGUGAUGAUGGCGAACCUUAGAAGAAACUCAUUAACAAACACAAACAAUAAUCAGAGUUCGAUAUUUGCGAACCAAACAUCAACAUCAACAUCAACACCAACGCAUGCAAACUCAACCUCAUCUCGCAUCAUUCACUUCCUCAAGAACUAGAAGCCUCAUGCUUUCCCUUUUCUUCUCUCAGUCUUCCUCUUCCUCACAUGGCUUUCUCUCAAACUUCAGCACAGCAAUUCCCGCUUUUCACCUCCAACUUUUGCUCGUGCCCAGCAGACUUUGAAUCACCAUAACUAUGAGGACGAUGCUAAGGCUGGUAUUGUCACAUUCCCAUCUGGGUUUCCUUCCCCUCUUGCUAAAGACACCUGUGGUUGCUAAAGACUCAUCACCUUUCGGGUAUGCCUUCCAUGCCUACUGUGUUUCCAAACGCAGCCUUCGAUUUGUCGCAUUUUUAUUAUUAUUAUUAUUAUUAUUAUGAGUUGAUUUUUUAUGUUUGCUAUUUCAUAUGUAUGUCCUUUUGUUGGUUUUAAGAUAAAUCUUUGUGAUUGUUUGUUAAUUGGGACCUGGGUACCAGGAAUUAUACUAUGUUAUGGAUAUUUCAUAAGGCCUAUGUCACAUUUGUGCGGAACCUACAUCCAUAGAUCCCACGUGAAUGUCUCUGUUACGUGAGGUACAUUUUUGCUGUAAGUUCUAGUUAGCUUAAUUGGUAAAAUGUCUUGUUGUCAAAUAAGAGGCGUUGGUUUGAUUCCCAUUUACACCAAAACCAAUUGUUGUAUUGGCCUGAUGAUAAAUAACAUUCAUCAUGGUGUGGAUACCAUAGAUUCAAAUCUGAUUGUAUUUAUAGAAAAAAUGAGUAACUUCUUCACUUGAGUACAUGGGUUUCAAAAUUGCCACUGAAUUUUAAAACAGAAAAAAGAAUUUGAUUCAAAUUUAUGGUAACAAGAUACUAAUUAAUUGAAAAUGGGGUUCCAUGUAUCAAAUCCAAUUCUGUUGAGCUAUCUGCUUUGGCAUCUUACCUUGAGUAACAAUUGUGACUAACUAUUGGUGCAGGGAAAAAAGAACAUAGGAUCAUCAUCAUGGUUCUUCUCUUGUUUCUUUGUUGAUAUUUAGUUUGAUGUUGUAGAGUUUGACGGAGGAGUAUGUUUGUUUACAGGUGGAGCUGUGACUUGUGCUUCACUUCAUCUUGGGGAAAUUCGACCUGGUGCUUUAAGGGGAAAUCACAGACAUCAUACUUGUAAUGAGACACUUGUCAUUUGGGGUGCUAAAACAAAAUAUAGGGUAAGCUGUUGCUUUAAAAGAAUUGAAAAUAUCAUAGCAGCUUGAUUCUGUGGAUGUAGGCCAUACUAAUUGUUUGGAUGUGUUAUUUAUCAUGUCAAGAAAUUUAAUUCAAUACUUAGUGCAUUAAUGGGGGGAAAAAAGAAAAUCAAAUUGGCAGAAAAGGUUUGCAGGAGCCAUGAAUGGCACAUAAUGGAAGAGUGAAAAGUUAAGUAUUUCUCAUUCUAUUUUUUAAUCAAAUGUUACUGCUUGGCAUAUUAAGAUGCUAACCUAACUUCUGUUUCUUGUGGAUGGAAACUUGUCUAAUGAGUUCUGAGUUAUGUAAUUACCAAAAAUAAAAAAGUUCUAGUGGUGAGACAAAACAUGCUAGUUGACUCCAGUGGAAGUUGUAUCUACCCUUUUUUAAAAUUGCUCUCUUUUACCUGUUGUGUACGUGUAUCAUUAUGCUAUUACCAAUUGGAAUUGCUAUUGUAUUAUGCCUACUUCUCUAGGAAACAUUUUAUAUUAAAAGUAACAGAGUGACAGAUAAGUUAUUUAAAUCGCUGUACUGGAAUAUGGGAUCCAUUCUGUGAUAUUUCACUAGUGGUUGGCGAAAGACUGCUUUGGCUUUUAUGUAUCACAAUGAGGGUGUUAUACGUUAUCUGAAUGUAAAUAUUUCAGAAACAAUAACAUAAUUUGAUGAGUCUGAUAUGAUGUUUUCAUAUUCCUAUGACUUUUUUUUUUUAUAAAAUUUAAUCAUUUAAUUUUCAUUUGUGAACUAUUUGCAGUUGGAGAACAGCCAAGUAGUUGGUAAAGGUUACGCUGAAGUGAUAAUUGAUGCAGACGAGGUUGCUGUUGCAGCUAGCCCAAGCGGAACUGCCCAUGCUUUAGUAAACAUGGAUCCAAUACGAAGUUCAUAA
rnacentral:sRNA from 1 species